CUCCCCACCCAUCCACAGCCACCGCCACCAGAAUCAAUCCCUCUGCGACACCAUACAAACGAUCUGCUGUAGUCGAUGCAUCACAGUACAGUGCACCACCAACAAUGACCGGCCGCGUGGCUCAGGACUGAGAGAGAUGGAGCGAGAAUAAGACGGAGAAUUAUUGCAGUGACAGACGCAGGAGACCCUGAACUGGGAUGAAGGAUCCCACGUCUUCGGACAUCGGGAGGAGGCCACGGAGGUGAUGGUGACAAACUGUCAGGUUGUUGGAAGUACCACAGCGAGCCCAUACCCCAGUGCCUGGAGUCCUCCCCUCCCCCUUGGGAAGGCUUGGCGAGUAAACAGUGUCUUUGCUGAUUACAAUGCCUUACUCUCACUGCAGCCCAAGACUGGCCCAUGGCGGAUCUGAGUUAUUGUUCCUGAGAGAGCUGAAGAGCCUGUGGUCCGGCCCGUGCUGGGAAUACACUGACCCACUUGGACUUUCCAGUGCCCUCACUUCCUCUUCCCCUGUCAUCCAGUGAGACUUUGGACGAGGAGAGGAGAUGGGAACGGUUCUGUACAAAGUUAGCUUUUAUUAAGAUGCAAGAUUGUGCAGAUCUCCAGCGACCGAGGCUGAUGACGAAAGAGACAGAUGAAGAAUCAGAUAAUUAUGUCUGUCAUCUGUUUACAAGAGAUCGAAUCCCCUUAUAUCGUUCGCUUAUCAAUCACUCGUCCCCACGGACGUGCCAAUGAAGGGGUGAGUGUACAUUUGUGAGGUUGCAAAGUCGAGUGGACACAACAGCAUCGACACCUGUUCAACGGAAUUUAAUUCAAACCCCCUCAUAGGGACGCUGUUGAGGUUUUUUAAGUUUAUUUAUAUUUCAGGUCAGGAUUUUCAGUUAAUGUUCACCUUAAAACAUUAGAGUGGGAUCUCCUGCGCAGUUUGUGGAUAACUCAGAUGACUUUACUCUUUACAAAUGCACAAAAGCCUCACAGAACGUACAACAACAUCGAACCUCGAGGUGAACGAUGUACAACAGCGGACGACUACUGCGGCUUCCACUUCUGCAGAUAUCUGAGGCUGCAGACUGAGACUCAGUCACCAAAAACCGGACAGACAGAUGAAGCCUGGAAAAACACAUAGCCCAGUCUGAUGAUUCUUGAUUUCUGCUGAGGCAAGUAGAUGGUAGAUGGUCACAAAUUAGCUACAGCAGCAUCAAUCCAUGGACCCAACCUGCGUUGUGUCGACAGUCCGGGCUCUUUGCUCACUCCGGGCCCCUUUAAUACCGAUCCAUCAAGGUUUGAAUGCCACAGCGUGUGUGAGUGUCACUGCCCACCAUGUACGGGGCCACGAUUUACCUUCUUCGAGUGGCAACAGCAGAGAAAUGCACCAAUGUCACAAAUCAAAAGUCGCCCUCAAACUGGUUAUGCGAACACGGCCAUGUGGGGCAGAACGGGAAGUGCACAACACGAAUGUGCAGCUAGUAAAUCUGCAGAAUUUAUGUGGCGCAAUCAUGUGAACACGGACGCAAAUCUCAAAGGAGAGUUUACAAACAAAAAUCGAGGUGUUUUGAGAGCGAAGUUGUCCCCCACCCAGGAUAAGUAUGGUGUUUUUUAACAAAGUGCAUCUUACAAAUAUAAUAAAUACGUGUAAACAAAAUUACCCAAAUGGAGGUUGCCAAAAAAUGUUUUUGAUAAAUAGUUUGGAGCCAGAGAAUGCAGUGCUUAUAAGCACUGUUUUCAACAGUGUUCCCAUCAUUUUGUCUCCCCCCUGUGUCUUUUCCUACUAUACGCAGUCUGUGCCUCUUGGAAUAUAAUCGUAGGUGCCACAAUUUACCAGUAGAGGGCGCAACAGAGAGCAGUCACUGAAACGGUCUCUCGAAGGAGGAGGAGGAGGCCCUGCCAACUUGCCUGGCCUUGACCAUGCACUUGGGAAGCCAUCAUUUAUUUUUGGAGCCCUAGGCUGCAUGGCAGCUGUGAGACUGGCGGAGGGUGAGGGAGGUGGGAGGGUAAGGAGAGAGGAGAGAUGCAAGGAGAAGGAGGGGAAGCGGGGCGACUUAACACCAGCGCCAGUGACACAAAAAGCAUUGUCCUGAUUUAAUGGCUGUGAAGUCUUGCCUCCCCCUGGUCCAAGAAGCUGCUGAUACUUAAUUAGGACGAACACUCUUUCAAACACACACACAAACACACAUCAAAUGCCAUGCGCACACACGCACACACACACACACACACACACACACACACACACACGCACACCUCAGCCCCGAGCGGCAAAGAUGAUUCAAUCCAACUCCGCCAUCGCAGGAGAUGAGUUAUGAAGACAGAGGGGUUUCUUGUUGUAGCCGCGGCACAACACAUCCAGUCUUUUUCCAAUAUGGAGGCUGUAAAAUUGUCACCGGGCUUUAAUGUGAAGAGUUAAACCUGUGAUGAGUCAUCAAGUGUAAAAUCAAACAGGCCCAUGGCCUGUGAUUAAUGACUGCACGGGGAGUUGUAACCUAGUCUCGGUAAUGACACGAGGGAAGAAAGAAAAAGCCAAAGAGCAGCGAGGGAGAAUUCAUCCUCAAAUAUGCUUUUUAUGUGGUCUGGUAUAAUACUGUCAGAGGAGAUGGUGACCAAUAUGACUAAAUAAAUUGUUAUGAUUUAUGCAUUUUGUAUAUAUAUAAUUAUUUUACCCAGUAACUGGUGAGAAACUCUGAUGGCACAGUAGGAUUUCAGUUAUUUUAAAAAAAGGAAACUCCAUCAAUCUUUUAACCGCAGGGGCGAUUGUCUUUAAUCACACAUAUGUGCAGUAGUUUGUUUAUUUAUGAUUCAUACAAGGACAACGUAUCUAUUAACUCACGGCCUAAUCUAUUGAUUACAAAGUUUGAUAUCAGAUUUUCUUUUUUCGAAACAAAUUUGAUCUCGUUUUUACUGUUUGAUUGAACGACCUUGUUCAUGAUGUGGAACAUUGAUUGACUGGUAUUGACAGUGUGAGCCUCUCAGCAGCACAACGAGGAGCCGAAAGACGCCAUUAAUAUGUAUACGCACUGUAUAUAAGUAGACUUGUGGUAAAAUCGCUGCUCAUAUCCUUUGAGUGCAGGACCCAAAUGAGCACAUGUCCUAUUUGAACAGGUUUCUGUUUUUUUUAAAAGUGAGCCUGCUCAUUCUUAAUGUUAAACAUAGCCACAAACUCAGAGUGAAAUGCCGGAUGAAUAUUUUACCGUCUCUUUACACAGAGAAAUAAGGAUACAAGACAAACUCAUGUCGAAAGACCCACACAAAUAUAUGCAAAAGUGUUUCUUCAAUUGAUUUACAUCCAAAUGUAUUAAAAU